CCUACGGGGGGCAGCAGUGAGGAAUAUUGGUCAAUGGGCGGAAGCCUGAACCAGCCAAGUAGCGUGCAGGAUGACGGCCCUACGGGUUGUAAACUGCUUUUAUACGGGAAUAACGCGCCUUACGUGUAGGGCUUUGCAUGUACCGUAUGAAUAAGGACCGGCUAAUUCCGUGCCAGCAGCCGCGGUAAUACGGAAGGUCCGGGCGUUAUCCGGAUUUAUUGGGUUUAAAGGGAGCGUAGGCCGCAUGUCAAGCGUGCUGUGAAAUGUCCGGGCUCAACCCGGGCCUUGCAGCGCGAACUGGCGUUCUUGAGUGGGCGAGAAGUAUGCGGAAUGCGUGGUGUAGCGGUGAAAUGCAUAGAUAUCACGCAGAACUCCGAUUGCGAAGGCAGCAUACCGGCGCCCAACUGACGCUGAAGCACGAAAGCGUGGGUAUCGAACAGGAUUAGAUACCCCUGUAGUC
rnacentral:rRNA from 1 species